rnacentral:rRNA from 1 species
GAUUAUGGCUCAGGAUGAAUGCUGGCGGCAUGCCUAAUACAUGCAAGUCGAGCGGUAACAGGACUAGCUUGCUAGUGCUGACGAGCGGCGGACGGCUGAGUAACGCAUGGGAACGCACCCAAACUGAGGGAUAACUAGUCGAAAGAUUAGCUAAUACCGCAUGUGAUCUUCGGAUUAAAGCUUUCGGGCGGUUUGGGAGCGGCCUGUGUACGAUUAGCUAGUUGGUGAGGUAAUGGCUCACCAAGGCGACGAUCGUUAGAUGGUUUGAGAGGAUGAUCAUCCAGACUGGAACUGAGACACGGUCCAGACUCCUACGGGAGGCAGCAGUAGGGAAUCUUUCACAAUGGGCGAAAGCCUGAUGGAGCAAUGCCGCGUGCAGGACGAAGGCCUUCGGGUUGUAAACUGCUUUUAUAAGCGAGGAAUAUGACGGUAACUUAUGAAUAAGGAUCGGCUAACUACGUGCCAGCCGCCGC